rnacentral:rRNA from 1 species
AGCGAACGCUGGCGGCAGGCCUAACACAUGCAAGUCGAACGAACCUUUCGGGGUUAGUGGCGGACGGGUGAGUAACACGUGGGAACGUGCCUUUAGGUUCGGAAUAACUCAGGGAAACUUGGUCUAAUACCGAAUGUGCCCUUCGGGGGAAAGAUUUAUCGCCUUUAUAGCGGCCCGCUUCUGAUUAGCUAUGUUGUUGAGGUAAUGGCUCACCAAGGCGACGAUCAGUAGCUGGUCUGAGAGGAUGAUCAGCCACAUUGGGACUGAGACACGGCCCAAACUCCUACGGGAAGCAGCAGUGGGGAAUCUUGCGCAAUGGGCGAAAGCCUGACGCAGCCAUGCCGCGUGAAUGAUGAAGGUCUUAGGAUUGUAAAAUUCUUUCACCGGGGACGAUAAUGACGGUACCAGGAGAAGAAGCCCCGGCUAACUUCGUG